CAGCCAUGUUUCUUCAUGCUCUGAGGACUGGGUUGGCUACCAGAGGAAAUGCUACUUUAUUUCUACUGUGAAGAGGAGCUGGACUUCAGCCCAAAAUGCUUGUUCUGAACAUGGUGCUACUCUUGCUGUCAUUGAUUCUGAAAAGGACAUGAACUUUCUAAAACGAUACGCAGGUAGAGAGGAACACUGGGUUGGACUGAAAAAGGAACCUGGUCACCCAUGGAAGUGGUCAAAUGGCAAAGAAUUUAACAACUGGUUCAACGUUACAGGGUCUGACAAGUGUGUUUUUCUGAAAAACACAGAGGUCAGCAGCAUGGAAUGUGAGAAGAAUUUAUACUGGAUAUGUAACAAACCUUACAAAUAAUAAGGAAACAUGUUCACUUAUUGACUAUUAUAGAAUGGAACUCAAGGAAAUCUGUGUCAGUGGAUGCUGCUCUGUGGUCCGAAGUCUUCCAUAGAGACUUUGUGAAAAAAAAUUUUAUAGUGUCUUGGGAAUUUUCUUCCAAACAGAACUAUGGAAAAAAAGGAAGAAAUUCCAGGAAAAUCUGCACUGUGGGCUUUUAUUGCCAUGAGCUAGAAGCAUCACAGGUUGACCAAUAACCAUGCCCAAGAAUGAGAAGAAUGACUAUGCAACCUUUGGAUGCACUUUAUAUUAUUUUGAAUCCAGAAAUAAUGAAAUAACUAGGCGUGGACUUACUAUUUAUUGCUGAAUGACUACCAACAGUGAGAGCCCUUCAUGCAUUUGCACUAUUGGAAGGAGUUAGAUGUUGGUACUAGAUACUGAAUGUAAACAAAGGAAUUAUGGCUGGUAACAUAGGUUUUUAGUCUAAUUGAAUCCCUUAAACUCAGGGAGCAUUUAUAAAUGGACAAAUGCUUAUGAAACUAAGAUUUGUAAUAUUUCUCUCUUUUUAGAGAAAUUUGCCAAUUUACUUUGUUAUUUUUCCCCAAAAAGAAUGGGAUGAUCAUGUAUUUAUUUUUUUACUUCCUCAGCUGUAGACAGGUCCUUUUCGAUGGUACAUAUUUCUUUGCCUUUAUAAUCUUUUAUACAGUGUCUUACAGAGAAAAGACAUAAGCAAAGACUAUGAGGAAUAUUUGCAAGACAUAGAAUAGUGUUGGAAAAUGUGCAAUAUGUGAUGUGGCAAAUCUCUAUUAGGAAAUAUUCUGUAAUCUUCAGACCUAGAAUAAUACUAGUCUUAUAAUAGGUUUGUGACUUUCCUAAAUCAAUUCUAUUACGUGCAAUACUUCAAUACUUCAUUUAAAAUAUUUUUAUGUGCAAUAAAAUGUAUUUGUUUGUAUUUUGUGUUCAGUACAAUUAUAAGCUGUUUUUAUAUAUGUGAAAUAAAAGUAGAAUAAAC
rnacentral:lncRNA from 1 species